AGCGGCGGACGGGUGAGUAAUGCCUAGGAAUCUGCCUGGUAGUGGGGGACAACGUUUCGAAAGGAACGCUAAUACCGCAUACGUCCUACGGGAGAAAGCAGGGGACCUUCGGGCCUUGCGCUAUCAGAUGAGCCUAGGUCGGAUUAGCUAGUAGGUGAGGUAAUGGCUCACCUAGGCGACGAUCCGUAACUGGUCUGAGAGGAUGAUCAGUCACACUGGAACUGAGACACGGUCCAGACUCCUACGGGAGGCAGCAGUGGGGAAUAUUGGACAAUGGGCGAAAGCCUGAUCCAGCCAUGCCGCGUGUGUGAAGAAGGUCUUCGGAUUGUAAAGCACUUUAAGUUGGGAGGAAGGGCAGUAAGUUAAUACCUUGCUGUUUUGACGUUACCAACAGAAUAAGCACCGGCUAACUUCGUGCCAGCAGCCGCGGUAAUACGAAGGGUGCAAGCGUUAAUCGGAAUUACUGGGCGUAAAGCGCGCGUAGGCGGUUNNGUAAGUUUGAUGUGAAAGCCCCGGGCUCAACCUGGGAAUUGCAUCCAAAACUACUUNGCUAGAGUANGGUAGAGGGUGGUGGAAUUCCCNGUGUAGCAGUGAAAUGCGUAGAUAUAGGNAGGAACACCAGUGGCGAAGGCGACCNCCUGGACUNAUACUGACACUGAGGNNCGAAAGCGUGGGGAGCAAACAGGAUUAGAUACCCUGGUAGUCCACGCCNUAAACGAUGUCNACUAG
rnacentral:rRNA from 1 species